rnacentral:lncRNA from 1 species
CAUCGAAUCGGAUUUAUGAUUAUGUUACAUGUGAAUAUUUGAAAAUAUUGGAUUUGUAUUAAAACAGCAUGAAAUAUACGCUUAUGUUUAUUUGCAGCAUUAUUCUUAAAAAUUAUAUAAUAUUUGAAAUAUCUGGUAGAGAUGCUUGUUACUUACUGGGCUGUCUAGCUCAUUACCUUUCUUUCUAUUUUUCAGAUUCAGAUAAUUAAUUUCGAGC